CAAAAUGUCGUUUUCUUUGCAUGUGUGUGCUUAUAUUCAUGUGUUUGCAAAUACUUCUACGUAUUAAUAGUUUAUCUAUUUUUAUUACACAAAUGACCUGUCUGGUUCAAUUUAAUAUUUGGUGAUGUAAAAUUAAAAUUUAAGAUUAUGCACGUUCGCUGAGCUAUUGGUGCAAAUGGAACAUUUAUUCGUACCGUGGGGAAUCAUACAAAACACUAAUUCGACUCACUUAUUAUGGAAAAGACGUACAAACACUUAAUAAUGCAGGCCCACAAGAGUUGGCCACAUGCACUGAUGAGCUGGAAGCUGAUAUUAUAAACCAGGAAAUUGUGUCUGCCAGUGUAUACAUAACCUCUUUUGUUGCACGGACUGAAAUUGAAUGCUUAUUCAGAUAUCGAGUAUGAGCAGGUGCUCACAGAUUUAGAGGACGUCAUACAGACCUACAAUACAUACAUAUAUCGAUACCGCACAGUGCACAGCAGAGGAUUAAAUCCAAAUAGAUUAAAUAAAA